AGAGGCUGGAGCGGCUUGGGAGGGAAACAGGUUCUGCGGGUCCAGUCGGUAAGCCCUUUCCAGCACGCCCAGUACUGGGAUUCUGGACGUAGUUCGGAGGGGAAACGGCGAGGAACAAAAACAAACCGUCUUGGCGGGUAGGGCCAGGCCCCCACCCUGCGGCGGUCACAGCAGCAGUAGAAGGCGAUGAUGGAGUGCAGCUCCAGCUGUCUACGGAGACUGGUUGGUGCGCGCCCCCCACCCCUCAGGGCAGGGUCUCGGCUUUGGGCCCCCGCCCCUCCCCCCCAGCCGUCCUCCCACCUUAAGGCACAUACUGCCCCUCGCGCGCCCGGCCCGACGGAAGGGCUGGAGGGGACCGGGAGCCCCUCGACUGGGGGGGGGACGUCCCCGCCGCCUAACCCGGGGCGCAUUCACCACGGAGGCCGGCUCAGAUGGGAACAAGAGGCCUUUAGUGUCGCCCCCCGCAGCCCCAGCUGCCCGCGCGGCCCGGCCCGGGCCGGGGCUCAGACCGGCGGCGCUGCGGGCGGGGCGGGCUGAGCGAGGAUGAGGCGGAUGCACUCCACGCACUGCGCGGCCGCCUGCCGUGUUUCGCGGCACAGCGUCGCCAGGCUCAGGAAGCCGUGCGGCAGGUCCUCCACCACGCGCAGCGUCACGGGCUUGCCGAGGCCGCGCAGCCGCCGCGCGAACAUGACCGAGUCGUCCAGCAUGGGGUCCAGCGCGCAGGCCUGCGGGACGGCGGGGGUGGGGCACGGGGCAGGGGAACGAGGGGAGGGGGCGGGGGGUGGGAGACUGAGCCUCGGCCCAGCAUCUCCGCCCCUUUCGCCCCCCAGACCCACCACCUCUUUCCCCUUCCCGAUCGCGAGAGGAAAUAGCAGCCCUGGUUUCCCUGCAGCCCUCCGGUCCCCGGGCAUUCCCUCCUGGUGGCACGGCUCUCCCUUCCCUUCGGCCGGCAGCCAGGCCACCUUACCACCCCCACCCCUCCGCUCUCUCGCUCCCGGGCUCCCUUCCGCAGGUGCACCUGCCCCUGCCCGCCCCUGCUCGCCUUGCUCCCCGCCCAGCGCACUGUCCGAAUCUGGCGCUCACCACAAUGUGCACGGGCGGCAGGCUCUGUAGCAUGCUGUCAGACGCCAGCAGCGGCGACAUGAAGGGGUUCUUGACGAUGGGCGAGGAGCAGAAGGGCAUCCGGGUGGUGCCCUGGCUGGAGCGCCUGGGGUGGAAACCGUCAGGGAAGGAGGAGCGCAAGCCGCAGCCUCUGUCCUUGGUGCUCAGCUCCUCCUGUGCCUUAGCGGCCUCGGGUGCGUCGUCUGGGCCAACCAAGAAGUUGACGUCGGAGGGCGUGGAGGGGCCAAGUGUCUCCGCAGACAUGGACAGCUCCGGGGUUUUUGACGUUUCAGAGCUGCCCCUUAGGCUCAGGUCGUGUAGGGUCAGGCUCUUGAGGGAGUCCGUGCCCAGCGGGCCCUCGGGCUGGGCCAGGGCUGCCUCGGACACGCUGCGCCGCAUUGACUCUGCAAGAGGAGCAGGGGCAGGUGGCCAGUGGGGGCCACAGCUCAGCUGGGCUAUGUGGGCUGGGUGUGCGUGGUGGGCAGGAGAGGUCGGGGGGGAGGGCAGUGACCUCUGCAGGAGGAGCUGUGUGUUAGGCUGUGGAGGCCGAGUGUUCCCCCCAGGCGCCCGUCCUCAGGGAUGGGUGGGGAGCCCCAGGUGCCCCAGGCUGCAACUCCAAGGGGGAGGUGGGAGGAGUCACGUGGUGGUGGAGGUGUGUGUGUGUGUGCGCACGUGUGUGCGUGCGAGCGUGUGGUGACCGGGAGGGUGAAAUGCAAGUCAGUUUACCUCUGGGAGCCUCAGUUUCCUCCUCUGUACAAAGAGGGGAUAAAAAGAGUCCUUACCUCAUAGGAGUUGGUGAGGACUCGGUGGGAGGAGGCACUGCUGCCCCCUGGGAGGUCACACGCUAUCCUCAUGUUUUAUUACUAGGCCUGGUGCCUUGUUCCAGCCGCCUCCCUGACCCCAGCACGGGGCCCCAGCCAACCUGUGAGGGCCACUCAACACAGAGGGUGUCAACAGUGGAAUAGUGAGCAGGCCCACGUGAGCAGGCCACGUUCACAGGGAGCUAAAGAGAGUCUUGGGAGCCUAUUCGAUUCCCAGGGAUCCCACACCUGCAGCCACACAGAUCUGCUCUCCACAUUUCCUUCAUGUUCUUUAGUUUUAUCCCUUACCUUUGAGUGACUGGACAAACAAGUGCCCUGCGGAGGCCGAAGACGCGCUUCGGGCCGCGUGGAGUGCCCACCUUAGCCUCCGCUCCAUUAAUCUGACCCGACCUACGCUGCUUACCACUGGGGCCAGGACCCUGCCUUUUGCAAGUAUCUUUUCUUUUUGAACUCGUCUAUAUAAAUCCACGAAGGCAAGAUGUAAGACGAUAUGAGAGUAACUGCCUAAGUGCCCCGUGACCCAGAGGGUCACCGGAACGGAACCACUGACAGGAGUCACGGGGCGCAGCCUGUCAGGGGUGCCAGCAUCUGCUAGGAGCACCUACUGGGUGUCAGGUUUGUGCUGGGUGCUUGGCACAAAUAGUUGCAUGAAGUCCUUACAACAACCUCAUGAGGCAGGUCCUCUUACCAUCCUCAUUUCACGGAGGAGCAAAGCAAGGCUCACAGAUAGGGUACCUGGCCCCCGUCACCCCGUAGGUUGCUCGACUGUGGGCCUCUAGGGGCUGCACGUGUCACCUCUAACCUUUAGGGAAAGCCCCAGUGUUCAAUGGUUCAUGGUUCAAAUCCCUUUUGUUUUUGUGUGUAUUUGUAUCCAUCUGAAUAUCCUAAAAUUUAAAAAGUUCAAGUAA